ACCUCCGCAAUACACGAAAGUGUGACGGGGUUACCCAAAGUGUUCAUUUCUGAACUGUGGUAGGUGAGUAAUGUCCCCUACUAGAAAGGAGAGGGCAAGGCUGGUGCCAGCCGCCGCGGUAAAACCAGCUCUUCAAGUGGUCGGGAUAAUUAUUGGGCUUAAAGUGUCCGUAGCCUGUUUAGUAAGUUCUUGGUAAAAUCGGGUAGCUUAACUAUCCGCGUGCUAGGAAUACUGCUAUACUAGAGGGCGGGAGAGGUCUGAGGUACUACAGGGGUAGGGGUGAAAUCUUAUAAUCCUUGUAGGACCACCAGUGGCGAAGGCGUCAGACUGGAACGCGCCUGACGGUGAGGGACGAAAGCCAGGGGAGCGAACCGGAUUAGAUACCCGGGUAGUCCUGGCCGUAAACGAUGCAUACUAGGUGAUGGCACGGCCAUGAGCCGUGUCGGUGCCGUAGGGAAACCGUUAAGUGUGCCGCCUGGGAAGUACGGUCGCAAGGCUAAAACUUAAAGGAAUUGGCGGGGGAGCACCACAAGGGGUGAAGCCUGCGGUUC
rnacentral:rRNA from 1 species